AUACUUACCUGGCAGGGGCGGUACCAUGAUCACGAAGGUGGUUUUCCCAGGGCGAGGCUUAUCCACUGCACUCCAGAUGUGCUGACCCCUGUGGUUUCCCCAAAUGUGGACUGCAUAGUUUGUGGUAGUGGGGGACUGCGUUCGCGCUCUCCCCUA